rnacentral:rRNA from 1 species
CCUACGGGAGGCAGCAGUGGGGAAUAUUGGGCAAUGGGCGCAAGCCUGACCCAGCAACGCCGCGUGAAUGAAGAAGGCUUUCGGGUUGUAAACUUCUUUUCUGAGGGACGAAGAAAGUGACGGUACCUCAGUAAUAAGCCACGGCUAACUACGUGCCAGCAGCCGCGGUAAUACGGAGGUGGCAAGCGUUAUCCGGAUUUGUUGGGUGUAAAGGGAGUGUAGGCGGGAAAGCAAGUCAGAUGUGAAAACUCAGGGCUCAACCCUGAGCCUGCAUUUGAAACUGUUUGUCUUGAGUGCUGGAGAGGCAAUCGGAAUUCCGGGUGUAGCGGUGAAAUGCGUAGAUAUACGGAGGAACACCAGUGGCGAAGGCGGAUUGCUGGACAGUAACUGACGCUGAGGCGCGAAAGCGUGGGGAGCAAACAGGAUUAGAUACCCGGGUAGUC